CAAUAGCGUAUAUUAAAGUUGUUGCGGUUAAAAAGCUCGUAGUUGGAUUUCUGCCGAGGACGACCGGUCCGCCCUCUGGGUGAGCAUCUGGCUCGGCCUGGGCAUCUUCUUGGAGAACGUAUCUGCACUUGACUGUGUGGUGCGGUAUUCAGGACUUUUACUUUGAGGAAAUUAGAGUGUUUCAAGCAGGCAUACGCCUUGAAUACAUUAGCAUGGAAUAAUAAGAUAGGACCUCGGUUCUAUUUUGUUGGUUUCUAGAUCUGAGGUAAUGAUUAAUAGGGACAGUUGGGGGCAUUCGUAUUUCAUUGUCAGAGGUGAAAUUCUUGGAUUUAUGAAAGACGAACUUCUGCGAAAGCAUUUGCCAAGGAUGUUUUCAUUGAUCAAGAACGAAAGUUAGGGGAUCGAAGACGAUCAGAUACCGU
rnacentral:rRNA from 1 species